GACGAACGCUGGCGGCGUGCCUAACACAUGCAAGUCGAACGGAAGUUAGAGCUUCGGUUUUAACUUUAGUGGCGAACGGGUGAGUAACGCGUGAGGAACCUGCCUUUCGGUGGGGGACAACAGUUGGAAACGACUGCUAAUACCGCAUGAUACUUUUGGGAGACAUCUCCUGAAAGUCAAAGCUUUAUGUGCUGAAAGAUGGCCUCGCGUCUGAUUAGCUAGUUGGUGAGGUAACGGCUCACCAAGGCGACGAUCAGUAGCCGGUCUGAGAGGAUGAACGGCCACAUUGGGACUGAGAUACGGCCCACACUCCUACGGGAGGCAGCAGUGGGGAAUAUUGGGCAAUGGGGGAAACCCUGACCCAGCAACGCCGCGUGAAGGAAGAAGGCCUUCGGGUUGUAAACUUCUUUUACCAGGGACGAAGGACGUGACGGUACCUGGAGAAAAAGCAACGGCUAACUACGUGCCAGCAGCCGCGGUAAUACGUAGGUUGCAAGCGUUGUCCGGAUUUACUGGGUGUAAAGGGCGUGUAGGCGGAGAUGCAAGUUGGGAGUGAAAUCCAUGGGCUCAACCCAUGAACUGCUCUCAAAACUGUAUCCCUUGAGUAUCGGAGAGGCAAGCGGAAUUCCUAGUGUAGCGGUGAAAUGCGUAGAUAUUAGGAGGAACACCAGUGGCGAAGGCGGCUUGCUGGACGACAACUGACGCUGAGGCGCGAAAGCGUGGGGAGCAAACAGGAUUAGAUACCCUGGUAGUCCACGCUGUAAACGA
rnacentral:rRNA from 1 species